GUCGUCUGCUGAGCCUGCUGUAGCUGCUACUGCUGCUGCUGCUGCACCUGCUGCUGCACCUACUGCUGCAUCUGCACCUACUGCUGCAUCUGCACCUGCUGCUGCACCUACUUUAACACUCUCGUCAUGAAAUUCUUGGUGUUGUUGCAGGUGUUGUUGGUGGUGGUGCUGGCAGCAGUGACCUCUGCCAACCCCUGGCACAGGUUCAGAACCAGUGACGGGAUCCGCAGCCUGUCCCGGCCCUCUCUUAGCUGGGGUCUGCCCCGGAGUCUAUCGCCGUCUAACGCUGUCUACAUAGACAGAAGUGAUGAGAGCUUUGAGGACGACUCCCUAGAGAGCUUCGAGCUUAGACGACGCUAUUUCUUGGGCUAGAAGAGCUGGGGUUGUUGGAUGAUGGAAGAAGGACUGUAUCAACUCUCUGUGUCGUCAUUCUUAGGAUAGAUGGAAGGUGAAGAACCAGUGGAUAGAUGUACAAUCAGUCCUCUGUAUCUACUAUCCUGAAACCACAACUACGAGGAUAGAUAAAGAGUUGAAGAACUAAGGAAAAGGCGUCUAUUCAACCUCUAUUUCCCCCAUUUUACCGACAGCACCCCAGGAUAGACAGGAGAAAUUGAAAACCUACCUGAAAACUCUACAUCCUCAACUUCUCAUCUAUCCCAAGAGAUCCUCCUAUCAAUCGGCUCUUCAACCCAGUGAAAGUCAACUGUGAGCUGGACAGAGAGAGUGGAGCAUACUCCCACUUUCCCAAUAGACAGGUCAACUGUCCCCUUCAACCAUCAUCAAUCUGGACACAGACACAGUAUACAUACCAAGACUUAAUUUUAGACAAAAUCUUUCUAAGAAUUGACCUAUCAAGUCUUCCUCUUGUCUAAAUGCCCUAAUGUCUAAAUACCCUAUUGUCUAAAUAUUCUAGUGUUUAAAUACUCUAUUGUCUAAGUACCCUAGUGUGUAGAUACCCUAUUGUCUAAAUACCCUAUUGUCUAAGCCCCUAUUAUCUAAACACCUUUGUGUCUAAAUACCAUAGUGUCUAAAUACCCUAGUGUCUAAACACCCUAAUGUCUAAAUAUCCUAGUGUCUGAACACCCUAUUGUCUAAUAUGUAAGUUUUCUGUCGGCUGUGUCUAAACCCUCAGCUUGUCAGCUUAAGUCCAGUAAGCUGACACAGAAAUAUACAUCAGAAUACACGACGAUCAUCCAAAAA